AGUACGCCGUCGUAGACCCGAAACCGAGUGAUCUACCCAUGUCCAGGGUGAAGUUCAGGUAACACUGAAUGGAGGCCCGAACCCACGCAUGUUGAAAAAUGCGGGGAUGAGGUGUGGGUAGGGGUGAAAUGCCAAUCGAACUCGGAAAUAGCUGGUUCUCCCCGAAAUAGCUUUAGGGCUAGCCUCGAGGGAAGAGUCUUGGAGGUAGAGCACUGAUUGGACGAGGGGUCCCCACAGGAUUACCGAAUUCAGUCAAACUCCGAAUGCCAAGUACUUAUCCUCGGGAGUCAGACUGCGAGUGCUAAGAUCCGUAGUCAAGAGGGAAACAGCCCAGACCAUCAGCUAAGGUCCCAAAGUAUACGUUAAGUGGCAAAGGAUGUGGAGUUGCCCAGACAACCAGGAUGUUGGCUUAGAAGCAGCCACCAUUUAAAGAGUGCGUAAUAGCUCACUGGUCGAGUGACUCUGCGCCGAAAAUGUAACGGGGCUAAACGUAUCACCGAAGCUAUGGAUGAACACCUUAGGUGUUCGUGGUAGGGGAGCGUUCCAAGGACAGCGAAGCUAGAUCGUGAGGACUAGUGGAGUGCUUGGAAGUGAGAAUGCCGGUAUGAGUAGCGAAAAGAGGGGUGAGAAUCCCCUCCGUCGAAAGCCCAAGGUUUCCUGAGGAAGGCUCGUCCGCUCAGGGUCAGUCGGGACCUAAGCCGAGGCUGAAAAGCGUAGGCGAUGGACAACAGGUUGAUAUUCCUGUACCACCUCUCCACCGUUUGAGUAAUGGGGGGACGCAGAAAGGUAGGGUGAGCGCGCUGAUGGAUAUGCGCGUCUAAGCUGUUAGGCUGGAAAGUAGGCAAAUCCGCUUUCCGUUCGGCUGAGCAGUGAUAGCGAGGGAAAUGUAGUACCGAAGUCCCUGAUCCUCCGCUGCCUAGAAAAGCCUCUAGCGAGGUGGAAGGUGCCCGUACCGCAAACCGACACAGGUAGGCGAGAAGAGAAUUCUAAGACGCGCGGGAGAACUCUCGUUAAGGAACUCGGCAAAAUGACCCCGUAACUUCGGGAGAAGGGGUGCUCUAUUAGGGUGCAAGCCCGAGAGAGCCGCAGUGAAAAGAUCCAAGCGACUGUUUAGCAAAAACACAGGUCUCUGCGAAGCCGCAAGGCGAAGUAUAGGGGCUGACACCUGCCCGGUGCUGGAAGGUUAAGAGGAGGGGUUAUCCUUUUAGGAGAAGCUCUGAAUUGAAGCCCCAGUAAACGGCGGCCGUAACUAUAACGGUCCUAAGGUAGCGAAAUUCCUUGUCGGGUAAGUUCCGACCCGCACGAAUGGUGUAACGAUUUGGAUACUGUCUCAACGAGAGACCCGGUGAAAUUAUAGUACCUGUGAAGAUGCAGGUUACCCGCGACAGGACGGAAAGACCCCAUGGAGCUUUACUGUAGCCUGAUAGUGGAUGUUGGUAUCGUUUGUACAGGAUAGGUAGGAGCCUUUGAAACCGGAGCGCCAGCUUCGGUGGAGGCAUUGGUGGGAUACUACCCUGACGGUGCUGACAUUCUAACCUCGACCCGUGAUCCGGGUCAGGGACAUUGUCAGGUGGGCAGUUUGACUGGGGCGGUCGCCUCCUAAACAGUAACGGAGGCGCCCAAAGGUUCCCUCAGAAUGGUUGGAAAUCAUUCGAAGAGUGCAAAGGCAUAAGGGAGCUUGACUGCGAGACCUACAAGUCGAGCAGGGACGAAAGUCGGGCUUAGUGAUCCGGCGGUGCCGAAUGGAAGGGCCGUCGCUCAACGGAUAAAAGCUACCCUGGGGAUAACAGGCUUAUCUCCCCCAAGAGUCCAUAUCGACGGGGAGGUUUGGCACCUCGAUGUCGGCUCGUCGCAUCCUGGGGCUGAAGUAGGUCCCAAGGGUUGGGCUGUUCGCCCAUUAAAGCGGCACGCGAGCUGGGUUCAGAACGUCGUGAGACAGUUCGGUCCCUAUCCGUCGCGGGCGCAGGAAAUUUGAGAGGAGCUGUCCUUAGUACGAGAGGACCGGGAUGGACACACCGCUGGUGUACCAGUUGUUCCGCCAGGAGCAUCGCUGGGUAGCUACGUGUGGACGGGAUAAGUGCUGAAAGCAUCUAAGCAUGAAGCCCCCCUCAAGAUGAGAUUUCCCAUAGCGUAAGCUAGUAAGACCCCUUAGAGAUGAUGAGGUUGAUAGGUCUGGAGUGGAAGUGUGGCGACACAUGGAGCGGACAGAUACUAAUCGGUCGAGGACUUAUCCAA
rnacentral:rRNA from 1 species